rnacentral:rRNA from 1 species
GCUUGGCGGAGCUUUAACAUGCAGUCGACGGCAGCACGGGUGCUUGCACCUGGUGGCGAGUGGCGAACGGGUGAGUAAUGCGUCGGAACGUACCGAGUAAUGGGGGAUAACGCAGCGAAAGUUGUGCUAAUACCGCAUACGCCCUGAGGGGGAAAGUGGGGGAUCGCAAGACCUCACGUUAUUCGAGCGGCCGACGUCUGAUUAGCUAGUUGGUGAGGUAAUGGCUCACCAAGGCGACGAUCAGUAGCGGGUCUGAGAGGAUGAUCCGCCACACUGGGACUGAGACACGGCCCAGACUCCUACGGGAGGCAGCAGUGGGGAAUUUUGGACAAUGGGGGCAACCCUGAUCCAGCCAUUCCGCGUGAGUGAAGAAGGCCUUCGGGUUGUAAAGCUCUUUCAGCAGGAACGAAACGGUGCGCUCUAACAUAGCGUGCUAAUGACGGUACCUGCAGAAGAAGCACCGGCUAACUACGUGCCAGCAGCCGCGGUAAUACGUAGGGUGCGAGCGUUAAUCGGAAUUACUGGGCGUAAAGCGUGCGCAGGCGGAUUGUUAAGCAAGACGUGAAAUCCCCGGGCUUAACCUGGGAAUGGCGUUUUGAACUGGCAGUCUAGAGUGUGUCAGAGGGGGGUGGAAUUCCACGUGUAGCAGUGAAAUGCGUAGAGAUGUGGAGGAACACCAAUGGCGAAGGCAGCCCCCUGGGAUAACACUGACGCUCAUGUACGAGAGCGUGGGUAGCAAACAGGAUUAGAUACCCUGGUAGUCCACGCCCUAAACGAUGUCAACUGGUUGUUGGGGGGAGUGAAAUCCCUUAGUAACGAAGCUAACGCGUGAAGUUGACCGCCUGGGGAGUACGGUCGCAAGAUUAAAACUCAAAGGAAUUGACGG